CGUGAAGCCUCCGCCUCUGAUUUGCCCCUUCAAGGCGCCUCUCUCCCCACCUCCCCCACCCACUCCACACAAGCACCUCAUUGUCGUCUCCGCUGCGCCGCACCUGCAGCUUGGCGAGACGUCUACGACGCUAUCUUUGCUGUGUGCACGCACGUGUGUGUGGUGCUCCCUUUUUCGAUUUGCUUUUCGCUUGCACAGGCGCCUGUGCACAUAUUCCAUCAUGAAGAACUGUUGCGUCUGAGGAGGCGAUGACGGCGCCGAUGAGACGUCGUUCGUCAGCGACAGGUCGUAUGGGAGGUCGUCCUCGAAAAGCCCGUGCCCGAUCGCGUGGACGUGACUGUGUGCGGAUUCAGCACAUCCAAGCUGUGCUGGGCGCUAUCUUGCUAUCUACCGUGCUCAGAUUCGGCAUAUGGUGGCUGAUCAACGACGAGCGACCAGACUACUCGAAGCUGGGUCGCGCUCGGUCGCCCUGGUGAGGUGAGGCGAGGCGGAUGAUCGGCGACCGUGUGUGUGGCGCUUGAGGGGCGGGGCAGCGGUCCCUGAUCGCAAGACGAGGUUCUGGAGGCUCUAGCUCCGGUUACCUGCUCUAGUAUCCUGCGGCAGCCGCGGUUUGGCUUGCUGGCUAGUUUUGCCGAGGGAGCACACACACCCUAUGUUGACCUUGCCUGUGUGCAGCACCUCUGUGUGCCAUGGCGUUGGCGGACGAGGAAAACAAGCAUGUCGCUGACGUCCUCCCUCACUCCAUUCCCCUUUUAUGCUCAAACGUGAACUGCCUCACUAACUCUCCAGCUCUUCUGUCCACGUCCGCGUUCGCCCCGAACACGAGAGAUGUGUCUCUCGCGCCCGCGUCUGUGACGUCUCCUUCCAUCUCGUCCCUCGCUGUGUGCUGGUUACAAGUAAGUGGGUGGUGCGCACCCCACUCGUGCGCAGCGGCCGCGUGUGCGCCAACGCAUCGCUCCCUGGUGGUGGCUGCGGGUGGCCCCCCUCCCCGAGACGAAGAAAAGCCGGCGGCAUGCCAGCAGCGACUCCCCCGCGUGGCGGAGCUCCCUCGCUCGCCGUGGGCAGAGGGUGCGGCGCAGACAGACAUCAAGUCAGGAGCGGCCGCACUGCCCCCUAGCCCCCACGCACGCAUAGGUGCAGCGACAAGAGGCUGCGGCCCCCUUGGUUGCGCCAUCGCGCUGCACGUGGCGCCGUGGAGCUGGGACGUGUCCUGCUGCGCGGAGAGCCUGACCAGCCACGACGCAGAGGGCCACGCGUGGUCGCUGUUACGGGCUGGCGCUCCCUCCUCGCGGUGCUCGACGCGGCCCCUGCAGGGGCGGAGGGUGGCGUAUCGCGGCGCGCUUGGCCAUCAUUCGUGGCGCUGCGGGCCCGCCGCGCGCGCCCCAUUGCCGCCUGUCUUUGGUCGUGGUGAGCUGGAGCGCGACGGCGACGCUGACGAGCUCGCGACAUCUGCACUGCCGGAGGAGCCAACGCCAAGCCGACAUCCCCUGCCACCCGCGCGACAGACGCGGUCCGCCUAUAUCGCGGCGCGCCGUCCGCACCUUCGCCUCCGUCUGGCGACGAGCGCGCUAGGCGCGUAGCCCGAUUCGGCGGCAGACGGUCCGUCCGAGACGCCCAGGAUGUGACCGUGGGGUGGCAGCGGCGGUGGGCGCGCUGUGGUUGCGCGUAUGCGUCCGUUGGAUGAGCUGUGCACGGUGACAUGGCAUACGGAUGGACGAACAGAUAUGCUUGUUUGCUGUGCCGGAGUGUGCAGGGGUCGCUCUGCCUGCCCUUGUCGCGCCUCUCGCCGCCCUCACUCCUCCCCGUCUCCAUGGCGAGGCGAGGCCCUAACGCACCACGUUGCCUGCUUGUCGCCCCAGAAUAU
rnacentral:misc_RNA from 1 species